AACGCACAUUGCGCCCAUUAGUAUUCUAGUGGGCAUGCCUGUUCGAGCGUCAUUUCAACCCUUAAGCCUAGCUUAGUGUUGGGAAUCUACUUUAUUGUAGUUCCUCAAAUCCAACGGCGGAUCUGUGGUAUCCUCUGAGCGUAGUAAAUUUUUAUCUCGCUUUUGUUAGGUGCUGCAGCUCUCAGCCGCUAAACCCCCAAUUUUUUGUGGUUGACCUCGGAUCAGGUAGGAAUACCCGCUGAACUUAA
rnacentral:misc_RNA from 1 species